AGCGGGGUGGGGGCGCUGCCGGCAGCGCGAGGCCUCCGGUGCACAGUGCGAGGAGGGAGGCUCCGUGUGCGUCCUGAGAGUUCUGUGUUGCAACGGGGCAGUGUGGGGCCUCUCCCAAGGGCACCGUCGCCGUUCGGAUUGUGCUCUGGUGGCGGGUGGAGCACGGCUGCCCCACCCCUCCUGGAGCUGCAGCCUGAGAACCCCUAGGGAGGGGAGCCAAGGAUGUGGCAGCCCCUGGAUCCGGUGAGCUGGGAGGCCCCGGGCAGCAAUUGCACUCGUGCCAGAAGUGGGUGUGUCCUCCCAUUGUCAGGAGAAAGCCGGGCUCCAAGAAAUGGUGCGAUGUGUUUUUCUAAUUCAGUGCUGGCUUUGGUGGUUUUUUGUUGUGACCUUGCUGUGCCUCAUUCCAUAUUUGACCCACUUCAUGGAUGAGAGCACAGCCGGGCGUGAUGGGGAACGCCUGUCCUCUCAGCCCUCGGGAGCCUGAGGCAGGAGGAGCACCCUGAGUUGGGUCGAAAACAGAAUAAACACAGACCAAAACAAACCCCAGAACCGAAACGAAAAAACACCAAAAAUGGAGUGUGGAGGGCGUGCGGAGCUGAGACUUGACCCGGGGGGUGUCCCUCCGCACUCCUCCUUCCCCUGUCUGCCGGUGACCUGUCAGGCAGACCAAACAGGGGACUUGGCAAGGAAUCCCCACCCCAGCCUUUGCCUUGCGUCCACCCUUCAGAAACCCCUUCCUUCUCCAUCCCAGCCCAAGUUGGGAUUGUGGAGCAGGAGGAGCACCGGAACCCAAGGAGAGCCUGGAGUUAACAACCCAGUCUUCCCGGCACACCCAGGCCAGCUGUGACCCCAGAAACGAUGGCGCUCCCGGCCUCAUUCCCUGCUGCGGCAGAGUAGCUCAGAGGUCGUGACCCCAUGAGGACCCCGUGCCCAGGCCCCCACCUCACCCUCUGGAAGCUGCGGUCGUCCCUGGGCGUGCUUUUUACUCUCAAGGCCCUGACAGCAACGGGAGGGAGCAGGACUCAGCGCCAGCGCCAGCCUCCACGCACUUCACCCCAGUUCGUCCCUGAAGCCAGAACUGGGGCCAACGCUUCUCUGUCCUGCCCGCGCCUGCUCCCAGUCACUGUCCCACCCAGCGGGCUGGGCCUGCACCGGCCUCCUGCUUUCCACUAUCGAUUCCUGUGUUGCAAGUCAGGUCCCCGCUGGUCCUGGCCACCCACUGCUUGGGACAGAACCUGGGGCUCCACCGGGCUCCCCUCCCCGCCCUCUGCCCCGCGUUCUUCCCGGGACCGGCCCCUCUGUGCAGUCCCCUGACCACCCCAGAGGCUCCGGUUCCAUCCAGCGCAAUUCCCAGUGCAGCCAGGUCUCUCGCCUCGCCAGCCGGCGGAGGACACCAGCAGGAAGCCCGGGGGAGAGGACGGGGCCCCAGCCCAGGACUGAGAGCAGCCGCCGGCCCCGCCCCGCCCUAAAGUCCACCCAGGGGACACGGUGGGGCCUAGAGACAGCCGGUCCAGGCUUACUUCCUGGGACCCUCUUCCUGCGCUCACGCGGGCUGGACGUCCUGCUCUCCCGCCCCGGGCAGGCCCGGCAGCAGCUGCUCCUCUCCCGACGGGGUGGGGCUGCAGGGCACAGGCUGGAGGCACGCAGGAGGAAGGUCCCGGCUAGCUCGCACCUCCCACUCUGGCCUGGACCGGGAACUCCCUGGGUCAGCGCCCGGCCGAUAGGUGUGCCGCCCAGGGCCCAGCGCAGAGGACCGGGCAGCGGGGCGGGAGUGGCAGGGAGCUGCCGCUGUGGUCCUCGGGCGGUGACCCGGGCUGCCUCUGGUGUGCGGGAGUCCGGGGGGGUCAGGCUGGGAUCCAGGCGGGGCUCCUAAGGGGCGCCCUGGCCGUGGGCGCGCCCGCCCUCCUCACACGGGCACCAGGAAGCGGCCUGGCCUGGGUCGGACCCACGGCUCGGCGUGGCCCGGGGACACGGAGCGGGACGUUGGUGCUCGACGGGGAGGGCCGGACUGGGAGACCGGAGUCCGGGAGGGUGUGCCGGCCGGGGCAGGCCCUCUGCGCCCCUCCGCGCACUUUGGCGCGUCUCGGGCGGGGCGCCGAGCACCUGCCUGGGCCUCACCUCCGCUCCCCGGCCCGGCACCUGGGCCCGGCCGGGCAGGUGGCGCAGGGCCCGCCCCUCGGCGCCUGCGGGGAGCGGGACACUCCGAACUUGGCGGCCAGGGGCCAGCAGGUGGCGCCCU
ensembl:lncRNA